UACGGAGGGUGCAAGCGUUGUCCGGAAUCACUGGGCGUAAAGGGCGCGUAGGCGGCUCGGUAAGUAGGGGGUGAAAUCCUGCGGCUUAACCGCAGGGCUGCCUUCUAAACUGUCGAGCUCGAGCACGGUAGAGGCAGAUGGAAUUCCCGGUGUAGCGGUGGAAUGCGUAGAGAUCGGGAAGAACAUCAGUGGCGAAGGCGGCCCACUGGUCCGGUACUGACGCUGAGGUGCGAAAGCGUGGGGAGCAAACAGG
rnacentral:rRNA from 1 species